UAAAUGACUGCUAUGAAUUUCACAGUACAAGCUUUCUCAAGGCGUCUCAGGUGGCCCCAUGCAACGUGAUCGCAGCUCAGCAAACACAUCCACCUUCCACCUCCACGAUCUUCAUCAGGGGGCAAUGUAUAUAGCCACAAGACAUGCUAAUAUCCCAUAUGUAUAAUACCUAUAUGUGCUGGGAUCCCUUCCCUCCCCCCCUCCAUCAUACAAUGCCAUUGUUUUGUCUGCAGAAAAAAAACCAACAAGCUAAAGUAUAACAAGGGGAGAACAGUUAGUGCUGAUUUUCAUUUGCAUAAAUUUUCAUAUAUUUUGGAGAAAAUAAUAGACUAGUGGAGAGCUUGUCUUAGAGGAGUCAGUGCAUGGGGGGACCGGAGCAGGCUCGUUUCGCUGCACAGCACACCAAGCCUUGUUCUAUCAUCACCCACUAGAAAUAGAUAGCUUUCUAGAUCACACACUAGAAAUAGAUAGCUUUCUAGAUCCCCCACUAGACAGCUUUCUAGAUCACUCACUAAAAAUAGAUAGCUUUCUAGAUCACUCACUAGAAAUAGAUAGCUUUCUAGAUCACUCACUAGAAAUAGAUAGCUUUCUAGAUCACUCACUAGAAAUAGAUAGCUUUCUAGAUCACUCACUAGAAAUAGAUAGCUUUCUAGAUCAUCCAUUUAUUGAUUUUUACUCAUCAGAGGCAUCUGCUUGGCCUGAAAAUGGAGUAUCGUCUAAAGAAGAGGUCUCCAACCCAGUUCUGGAUUUGAAUUAUUCCCUGUUCCAUUCCAACAGAGUAAUUGAAAAAACCUGUAAAGUUGGUGGAUCUGCUGUAAAGGAACAAUGGUUUCCCUAUCAUCACAAACAAAGAUUCUUUAUCGUACCCAGUAGUAAAACUAUGGAUUUUUUUUGCCACAAGAUGUGAUGGUUGAUUCCUUGAAGAAGUUCAAGAUGGGAGUAAAUACCUUACUUAACCAAUAUGAUAUAACAAGUUAUAGGUACUAGUUUUCUGGAGAUGGUACAAUGAUCAAGGUAUCUAUUUUGAUGAAUAUGCCAAUAUUUUUUUCAUUUCAUUUUUUUUGUCUGGCUAAUUUUAUCCCAAUUUUAUAUAUAUCAUGGCUGUAAAAAUAUUGGCACCCCUGAAGUUUUUCUAAAAAAUGAAGUAUUUCUCACAGAAAAGGAUUGUGGUAACACAUGUUUUGCUAUACACGUGUUUAUUCCCUUUGUGUGUAUUGGAACUUAAAAAAAAAUAAAAAAAUAAAAAAGACAUAGACAUAAUGUCACACCAAACUUAAAAAAUGGGCUGGAUAAAAUUAUUUGCACCCUUUCAAAAUUGUGGAAAAAUAAGAUUGUUUCAAGCAUGUGAUGCUCCUUUAAACUUACCUGGGGCAAGUAACAGGUGUAGGCAAUAUAAAAAUCACACCUGAGAGCAGAUAAAAAGGAGAGAAGUUCACUUAGUCUUUGCAUUGAGUAUCUGUGUGCCACACUAAGCAUGGACAACAGAAAGAGGAGAGGAGAACUGUCUGAGGACUUGAGAACCAAAAUUGUGUAAAAAUAUCAACAAUCUCAAGGUUACAAGUCCAUCUCCAGAGAUCUAGAUUUGCCUUUGUCCACAGUGUGCAACAUUAUCAAGAAGUUUGCCACCCAUGGCACUGUAACUAAUCUCCCUGGGCGUGGACAGAAGAGAAAAAUUGAUGAAAGGUGUCAAUGCAGGAUAACCUGGAUGGUGGAUAAGCAGCCCCAAACAAAUUCCAAAGAUAUUCAAGCUGUCCUGCAGGCUCAGGGAGCAUCAGUGUCAGCGCAAACUAUCCAUCAACAGUUAAAUGAAAUUAAACACUAUGGCAGGAGACCCAGGAGGACCCCACUGCUGACACAGAGACAUAAAAAAGCAAGACUACAUUUUGCCAAAAUGAACUUGAGUAAGCCAAAACCCUUCUGGUAAAACAUCUUGUGGACAGAUGAGACCAAGAUAGAGCUUUUAGGUAAAGUAAAUCAUUCUACUGUUUACCGAAAACAGAAUGAGGCCUACAAAGAAGAGAACACAGUACCUACAGUGAAAUAUGGUGGAGGUUCAAUGAUGUUUUGGGGUUGUUUUGCUGCCUCUGGCACUGGGUGCCUUGAAUGUGUGCAAGGCAUCACGAAAUCUGAGGAUUACCAACGGAUUUUGGGUCGCACUGUGCAGACCUGUAUCAGAAAGUUGGGUUUUUCCAAAGGGUGUGCAACCAAAUAUUAAGUUAAGGGUGACAAUAAUUUGUCCAGCCCAUUUUUGGAGUUUGGUGAGACAUUAUGUCCAAUUUGCUUUUUUCCUCUCUUUUUUGGUUUAGUUCCAAUACACACAAAAGGAAUAAACAUUUGUAUAGCAAAACAUGUAUUACUGCAAUCCUUUUCUGUGAAAAAUUUCAGGGGUGCCAACAUUUACGGCCAUGACUGUAAUUGACAUACAUUUAAUAAAUGUGUCUAAAAAGCCAUAACAUGUAAUCCACAGCUCAUUUUUAGACACACAACUAAAAAUGUUGUGCAUGGUGAAAAACUGCAAAACAAUGGUGCAAUGUAUAUAACUAUAUCAUAUGAGUUUCUAGUAAAACCUGCUAGAGGAGGUCUUACCAGAAUGUUGAAAGAGAUGACUGUUUACAAUAACAAGCAAAUCAGUACAACCCCAAAAUCAGAAACAUAAUCUCACUUUGCAGGUAAGUACCGUUUACAUUUUAUUGCACACAAACUAGGAAAAUUAGAUUUUUUGAUGUUAAAGCCUAUAUAAAUCGGUGUAGGAGGAGCAAACUUUGCUACAUUUUGUUUCCCUCUUUAAAGUCUCCUUGAUAUUCCUAUAUAACAUGACACAUUUUCCAACUUUUAAUAAUUACUUACCCCAUCCAAGCUGCAUGAUGAGUUCAACUAUGAGUAUUCACCUCAUGAAGCUAUUGUGAGAGGACUUGAGACCUGUAAUAAUUACAAUGUUGUUAAAAGGGUAUUCCAGGAUCUUAGGUUCUUUGAAUGUAAGACAGGAGCAGCAAAGCUAGUCUAGUUACUAACAUGCUUCACUUACCUGUGUUUGGUGGCUGUUAUCACAUUUCUUUGUCUUUCUUUUGCCAGGAAGUUCAUUUUUUGCAGCCUACAAAAUGAGUGCUGUGUCAGUCCUUUCCCAACUUUCUGUGCAGCCUGAGACAAUACAUCACAAAUCAGGGGCUUAAAGGGGGCUUGGCUGCUUCUUCUGUUGUGUGUGAAGCCAGCCCCCUGAUGACAUUACCGGCACACAUGUGCCUGCAUUUGUCAGCACACAGAUCCAUAGCUUGUGUGUCAGGUAAAGUGGGAAAGUCAUGUGAUCAAAGGGAAUGUGGCCGUGCUGCAAUUGGUAGUGUGAGGGAUGGGAGGGAAAAAAGUCACCUCCUGCCUUGAAACAAAGGAUCCUGGGGAUUGCAGUUGGAAGGAGGUCAGAACAACCAGAAGUAUCUAGUUCCCAAAAACAAACCAGCAACGUGAUGAAGGACACAGGACCCAACCAUUUACCACCAACACAAGCACAGAUCCCUGCUGGAGGGAAAAAGAAAAAAGGGACAGAUGUCCAACCUAUCUCUUGAUUUAACUGUCAAUGUGUAAACGUCAGGAAAAUCUGAGAAGCUGGCGAUAGAAUGAAGGCAAUGGUAUAUCUAAAGAAAGAACUGCUUUUGAUGUAAAUAACCUUUAUAUGUAUUAUCUAUAUUUAUGAGCCAGAAACUCUCAUAGGAAACAAUGGAAAUUCCAUUGGAAUUCUUCCUUCAUGAUUUCUCUUUAUAUAUUUUUCUGAAAUAGUUUGUCUUAACUGUUUAAUUCUUUUUUUUAAUUUUUUUAUUUAGUAAUGCCUAUAUUACUGUAUGUCAUUGUGCAUUUCAUUGUAGAGUUUGCCUGCGUGGACUAGCUUAAAACUGCCUGGGCUUGCCAUUCUACACACUUAGACUCCAGUGUUUUCAUAACUUUAUCCCAACGUAAUUGGCUCUGAUAAUGUUUAGUCAGCAAUUCAUAGCUAUUAUUCACACCACUUUCAAGUGCCCCAAAAGUAGCUGUCAUUCAAUUGUAUUGGAAAGACCAGACAAUCACUGUUUUAUGAUCUUAAAUUUAUAUAAUAGAUGUUUUUAAUAAAAGACAACCAUGUACUGCUUUUUUUUUUGCUUGUUUACUUUUUCUAUGUAAAAGGCAUAGCCAUACGUCUUUAUACAGUUCUCUGUUAUUACAUAAAAAGUAUAUACUUCUUC